rnacentral:rRNA from 1 species
CGCGUAGGCGGGGUGUCAAGUUAGGGGUGAAAGGCCUGGGCUCAACCUAGGAACUGCCUCUAAAACUGAUACUCUAGAGUCCGGGAGAGGAUGGCGGAAUUCCCAGUGUAGAGGUGAAAUUCGUAGAUAUUGGGAAGAACACCGGUGGCGAAGGCGGCCAUCUGGUCCGGCACUGACGCUGAGGCGCGAAAGCGUGGGGAGCAAACA